AUUGAACGCUGGCGGCAGGCUUAAUACAUGCAAGUCGAGCGAGCGGCGGACGGGUGAGUAAUUUCUGGGAAACUGCCUGACGGAGGGGGAGAACUACUGGAAACGGUAGCUAAUAUCGCAUACCAUCAGAUGUGUUCAGAUGGGAUUAUCUAGUAGGUGGGGUAAUGGAUCACCUAGGCGACGAGCCCUAGCUGGUCUGAGAGGAGGACCAGCAACACUGGAACUGAGACACGGUCCAGACUCCUACGGGAGGCAGCAGUGGGGAAUAUUGCACAAUGGGCGCAAGCCUGAUGCAGCCAUGCCGCGUGUGUGAAGAAGGCCUUCGGGUUGUAAAGCACUUUCAGCGAGGAGGCGUUACUCGCAGAAGAAGCACCGGCUAACUCCGUGCCAGCCGCCGCGGUAAUAC
rnacentral:rRNA from 1 species